GCGGGCGUAGCUCAGUCGGCAGAGCAUCUGCUUCCCAAGCAGAGGGCCACGGGUUCGAGUCCCGUCGCCCGCUCCA
rnacentral:tRNA from 1 species